rnacentral:sRNA from 6 species
UAGUCAUGUAGCCUAUGAGGAUGAGAACCUCCGGGGGCAGGGAGGUUCGACUCGAGCGAAGCGAGAGAACGUUGCGCCAGCAACGGCCCGCAGGGCGAGCCACGAAGUGGCGAGUAAUCCUCUAUCACCGACCA